GCUCAUGAUGAACGCUAGCUACAGGCUUAACACAUGCAAGUCGAGGGGCAGCAUGGUCUUAGCUUGCUAAGGCCGAUGGCGACCGGCGCACGGGUGAGUAACACGUAUCCAACCUGCCGUCUACUCUUGGACAGCCUUCUGAAAGGAAGAUUAAUACAAGAUGGCAUCAUGAGUCCGCAUGUUCACAUGAUUAAAGGUAUUCCGGUAGACGAUGGGGAUGCGUUCCAUUAGAUAGUAGGCGGGGUAACGGCCCACCUAGUCUUCGAUGGAUAGGGGUUCUGAGAGGAAGGUCCCCCACAUUGGAACUGAGACACGGUCCAAACUCCUACGGGAGGCAGCAGUGAGGAAUAUUGGUCAAUGGGCGAGAGCCUGAACCAGCCAAGUAGCGUGAAGGAUGACUGCCCUAUGGGUUGUAAACUUCUUUUAUAAAGGAAUAAAGUCGGGUAUGGAUACCCGUUUGCAUGUACUUUAUGAAUAAGGAUCGGCUAACUCCGUGCCAGCAGCCGCGGUAAUACGGAGGAUCCGAGCGUUAUCCGGAUUUAUUGGGUUUAAAGGGAGCGUAGAUGGAUGUUUAAGUCAGUUGUGAAAGUUUGCGGCUCAACCGUAAAAUUGCAGUUGAUACUGGAUAUCUUGAGUGCAGUUGAGGCAGGCGGAAUUCGUGGUGUAGCGGUGAAAUGCUUAGAUAUCACGAAGAACUCCGAUUGCGAAGGCAGCCUGCUAAGCUGCAACUGACAUUGAGGCUCGAAAGUGUGGGUAUCAAACAGGAUUAGGUACCCUGGUAGUCCACACGGUAAACGAUGAAUACUCGCUGUUUGCGAUAUACUGCAAGCGGCCAAGCGAAAGCGUUAAGUAUUCCACCUGGGGAGUACGCCGGCAACGGUGAAACUCAAAGGAAUUGACGGGGGCCCGCACAAGCGGAGGAACAUGUGGUUUAAUUCGAUGAUACGCGAGGAACCUUACCCGGGCUUAAAUUGCAGAUGAAUUACGGUGAAAGCCGUAAGCCGCAAGGCAUCUGUGAAGGUGCUGCAUGGUUGUCGUCAGCUCGUGCCGUGAGGUGUCGGCUUAAGUGCCAUAACGAGCGCAACCCUUGUUGUCAGUUACUAACAGGUUCCGCUGAGGACUCUGACAAGACUGCCAUCGUAAGAUGUGAGGAAGGUGGGGAUGACGUCAAAUCAGCACGGCCCUUACGUCCGGGGCUACACACGUGUUACAAUGGGGGGUACAGAGGGCCGCUACCACGCGAGUGGAUGCCAAUCCCCAAAACCUCUCUCAGUUCGGACUGGAGUCUGCAACCCGACUCCACGAAGCUGGAUUCGCUAGUAAUCGCGCAUCAGCCACGGCGCGGUGAAUACGUUCCCGGGCCUUGUACACACCGCCCGUCAAGCCAUGGGAGCCGGGGGUACCUGAAGUGCGUAACCGCGAGGAGCGCCCUAGGGU
rnacentral:rRNA from 1 species